UGGGGAAUAUUGCACAAUGGGCGCAAGCCUGAUGCAGCCAUGCCGCGUGUAUGAAGAAGGCCUUCGGGUUGUAAAGUACUUUCAGUCGGGAGGAAGGUGGUAAGGUUAAUAACCUUGGCAAUUGACGUGACCGACAGAAGAAGCACCGGCUAACUCCGUGCCAGCAGCCGCGGUAAUACGGAGGGUGCAAGCGUUAAUCGGAAUUACUGGGCGUAAAGCGCACGCAGGCGGUUUGUUAAGUCAGAUGUGAAAUCCUCGGGCUCAACCUGGGAACUGCAUCUGAUACUGGCAAGCUUGAGUCUCGUAGAGGGGGGUAGAAUUCCAGGUGUAGCGGUGAAAUGCGUAGAGAUCUGGAGGAAUACCGGUGGCGAAGGCGGCCCCCUGGACGAAGACUGACGCUCAGGUGCGAAAGCGUGGGGAGCAAACAGG
rnacentral:rRNA from 1 species